rnacentral:rRNA from 1 species
AGAGUUUGAUCCUGGCUCAGAACUAACGCUGGCGGCGUGCCUAAUACAUGCAAGUCGAACGCGAAAGUCCUUCGGGAUGAGUAGAGUGGCGCACGGGUGAGUAACACGUGGGUAAUCUGCCUUGAGAUGGGGAAUAACCCCUCGAAAGAGGGGCUAAUACCGCAUAAGACCACAGCUACUAAGGUAGCAGGGGUUAAAUGGGGCCUCUAUUUAUAAGCUUUAGUCUCAAGAUGAGCCUGCGCAGCAUUAGCUAGUUGGUGGGGUAAUGGCCUACCAAGGCUACGAUGCUUAGCUGGUCUGAGAGGAUGAUCAGCCACACUGGAACUGAGACACGGUCCAGACUCCUACGGGAGGCAGCAGUAGGGAAUAUUGCUCAAUGGGGGAAACCCUGAAGCAGCAACGCCGCGUGAGUGAUGAAGGCCUUCGGGUCGUAAAGCUCUGUUGUACGGGACGAACGCGGGUGGCGAUAACAUCUCCAUCCAGUGACAGUACUGUAUAA